UACAGAGGUCUCAAGCGUUGUUCGGAAUUACUGGGCGUAAGGGGCUCGUAGGCGGCCAACUAAGUCGGACGUGAAAUCCCUCGGCUUAACCGGGGAACUGCGUCCGAUACUGGAUGGCUUGAGUUUGGGAGAGGGAUGCGGAAUUCCAGGUGUAGCGGUGAAAUGCGUAGAUAUCUGGAGGAACACCGGUGGCGAAGGCGGCAUCCUGGACCAACACUGACGCUGAGGAGCGAAAGCCAGGGGAGCAAACGGG
rnacentral:rRNA from 1 species